UGGGGAAUAUUGGACAAUGGGCGCAAGCCUGAUCCAGCCAUGCCGCGUGAGUGAAGAAGGCCUUCGGGUUGUAAAGCUCUUUUAGUGGUGAAGAUGAUGACGGUAACCACAGAAAAAGCUCCGGCUAACUUCGUGCCAGCAGCCGCGGUAAUACGAAGGGAGCAAGCGUUGUUCGGAAUUACUGGGCGUAAAGGGCGCGUAGGCGGAUCGAUUAGUCAGAGGUGAAAGCCCGGGGCUCAACCCCGGAAUUGCCUUUGAUACUGUUGAUCUUGAGAAUGAGAGAGGUAUGUAGAAUUCCCAGUGUAGAGGUGAAAUUCGUAGAUAUUGGGAAGAAUACCAGUGGCGAAGGCGGCAUACUGGCUCAUUUCUGACGCUGAGGCGCGAAAGCGUGGGGAGCAAA
rnacentral:rRNA from 1 species